rnacentral:lncRNA from 1 species
CCUUUUCCCCUUUCUCCUCCAGCAGCACGAAGUGAUCCACUGGCAAGCUGGGUAGAAGCUUUCCCCAGCAAAGCUGAGACGGCCAAUGUGGUAGUUAAGAAGAUUCUAGAAGAAAUCUUCCCGAGGUUUUGGAUACCCAAGGUAAUCGGGUCUGAUAAUGGACCUGCCUUUAUUGCCCAGGCCCUCAAGGUGGUGAGACACCAGACCUGGGAACAACUAAAAGAGAUGUAUAAGGCCAAAGAUUCACAAGUGCCACACCAGUUCCAAGUAGAGGAACACUGUCUUUGUCCGGCGGCACCACAUUGGGAAUCUAGAGCCUCAUUGGAAAGGACCAUAUUUGGUGCUCCUAACGACCCCUACAGCAGUGAAGGUUGAAGACAUCUCUGCUUGGAUCCACACCUCCCAUGAGCCCCUGAACUACAAAAAAAUGAAUGGAAACUGGAAAAAACAAUGGAUCCUCUUAAGCUGUGCCUGCAUCAUGAGCAUAGCUCAAGUGAAGGAUAGCAACCCAUGCCCCCCAAAAGUUAACCUGGCAGGUGGUGUCACAAACUGGGAAGAUAGUCUGGUCAGUUUCCAAGUCUGCCCCACCCUGGACAUCGUGGCCCACUCUAACCCCUGAUAUAUGCCAAUUAGUGGCAGGACUGGACUCUUGGGAUAUACCUGACCAUCUCCCAACUAAUUUACCCACUGUCAGAAGAGCGGGCACAGGUCCAGGCCCUGGAUGCAAUAAUCAGCUCACUCGCUGUGCAAUCUGGGAAGCACAUGUGCCCUAGGGAAGGUAGGUCUCGCCCACAAGCAGUGAAGUGUGGGGGUCCUGAGUCCUUCUACUGUAAGGCAUGGGGAUGUAAGACUACUGGUGAUGCCUGGUGGAAACCUUCUUCCUCUUGGGACUUAAUUACAGUUAAGAAAAACCAUACUGAUAGGCCUACUACCUGUUCUUCCAUCAGCUCUAGGGUCAAACAGAUGAUGAAUGGACCCUGCAGCAGAACCCCUUACUGUAAUCCCCUAAAUGUAACCUUUACAGACUCUGGAAAGAGAUCACAGGCAUGGGAUUAGGGCAUGAGCUGGGGAUUAAGAUUCUGUGUGUCAGGAGAUGAUCUGGGAUUGGUUACUUCACUGAGACUUAAGAUAGAAAGCCCCUCUCCCCUACCAGUUUGGCCUAACAGAGUUUGGCCUGAUCAGGGCCCUCCGGCCCCUGUACUCCCCAAAGGAACUUGUAUCCCUCCUGGGGAUCUAACCUUUAGCCCUGCACCUAUGUCUACCUUAGGUAACUCCUUUCUGGCGAUGCCUUCCACUGGACAGAGAUUGUUAAAUUUGAUACAGGGAGCUUUCUCUGUGCUAAACAGCUCUAACCCUAACAUGACAGUCUUGUUGGCUCUGCCUCGCUUCAGGACCUCCUUAGUAUGAAGGAAUUGCAGUGUCUGGGGCCUUGAACAACACCACUGCUUGUCCAGAUGCUUGUGUAUGGGGGACUAGUCAUAGGUUAACCCUUACUGAGGUUACAGGCAUAGGGACCUGCCUGGGAAACCCACCAGCUGCUUACAAACGUUUAUGUAAUAAGACUCAUAAGAGCACUAAAACUUCUGACACCCGGUACUUGGUUCCUGGUAUAGAUAAAUGGUGGGCUUGUAGUACAGGCCUGACACCUUGCGUGUCGAUGUCGGGCUUCAAUGACACCAAAGAUUACUGCCUGCUUGCGCAGCUAAUGCCUAGAGUCUUUUAUCAUCCAGCCAACACACUUGAGGAUGAAUUUGACAAGCUCCCAACUCGCUUUCGGAGAGAACCCAUCUCUUUGACGUUAGUAGCAAUCUUGGGCCUCGGGGUAGCUGCUGGCACUGGGACAGGUACCGCUGCCCUAAUACAGGCCCCUCACUACUUUAGCGAAUUAAGAAUAGCCAUGGAUGAAGACUUAGGGACACUAGAACAAUCUAUUU